GGCCCCGUAGCUCAGUGGUGGAGCAUCGCGCGCCUAACGCGGCGGUCGCGGGUUCAAUUCCCGCCGGGGCUG
rnacentral:tRNA from 1 species